rnacentral:rRNA from 1 species
GGAGACAGGUGGUGCAUGGUUGUCGUCAGCUCGUGUCGUGAGAUGUUGGGUUAAGUCCCGCAACGAGCGCAACCCCUAUUUCCAGUAGCCAGCAUUUAAGAUGGGCACUCUGGAGAGACUGCCCGGGAUAACCGGGAGGAAGGCGGGGAUGACGUCAAAUCAUCAUGCCCCUUAUGAUCAGGGCUACACACGUGCUACAAUGGCGUAAACAAAGGGAAGCAAAGCGGUGACGCCAAGCAAAUCCCAAAAAUAACGUCCCAGUUCGGAUUGUAGUCUGCAACCCGACUACAUGAAGCUGGAAUCGCUAGUAAUCGCGGAUCAGAAUGCCGCGGUGAAUACGUUCCCGGGUCUUGUACACACCGCCCGUCACACCAUGGGAGUCGGAAAUGCCCGAAGUCAGUGACCCAACCGUAAGGAGGGAGCUGCCGAAGGUGGAGCCGGUAACUGGGGUGAAGUCGUAACAAGGUAGCCGU